UACAGAGGGGGCCAGCGUUAUUCGGAAUUAUUGGGCGUAAAGAGCUCGUAGGCGGUGUGUCACGUCGGCCGUGAAAACCUGCAGCUUAACUGUGGGCGUGCGGUCGAUACGGGCAUCACUGGAGUUCGGCAGGGGAGACUGGAAUUCCUGGUGUAGCGGUGAAAUGCGCAGAUAUCAGGAGGAACACCGGUGGCGAAGGCGGGUCUCUGGGCCGAUACUGACGCUGAGGAGCGAAAGCGUGGGGAGCAAACAGG
rnacentral:rRNA from 1 species